rnacentral:misc_RNA from 1 species
UGAUUUGAGGAUGGCCACAUGUCGAUCCAACUGCAGCUUAAUAUGCUGUAGAAAGAUGUGGGAGAGCAAGUUCCUUAAUUUGCCUUUACCAAUGAACAAUUCUGAAAUUAAAAAAUUAUUUGAAUUAAUUAACUUCUUAAACAUAAUUUAAUUUGAUAUGUGUGUUCAUAUUCUGGACUGAACAUAGUCAAGAAACAAUUUCAAUUAGGGGUUGACAAACACUUGGAAAAUUUCCACAGCUAUUUUCUUUUGCUGCAGAAGAUUGCUAUACAUUUUUAUCAUUAAAUUAAAUUUUUUAAAGGAUGCGGGAUGCCAAACAUCCGUUCUCCUUUUACACAAUGUUUUCUUAUAGUCGCUCAUAUUUUAAAAUGCCUAAAAUUUAAUCACCGGGAAAAGAUUUUUCAAAACCAACGGAAUCAAAAUUGAUAUCAAUAAACACUUAAGUUUGAGUAAGGCAACUCAAUCGUAGGCUAUGUGAAAAAAUUGUAGAGAUCAUUUACCCCAGACGCACACAAUUUUUAAACGUGAAAACUGCGCGCCUUAAACAGCUCGAAAUGGAAUGUGUUGCUCACCUUAGAUAGGUAAAAAAACCAAGACGAAUAUGUAAAGAAAUUUAGAAAUUCUUUCCUCUCUUUUGUAUAACUAGCUAGCCGUAGGACAUUCAAAUGAAAGCGCGUAACGUUGUGUGCUGUGGAGACUGGAGAACCGAACCUACGGGCAUUUCAGUUGGCAACGGACAAGCGCCAGUGUUGAACUGCUGAACAUGAGCUGCGGAUGGCAAUUUGUUUGUUUCAUUUCGCAACUUUUGUCACGAAAAUAGUUUUGAGUUAAAUAAAUCCAAUUACUUGUUAUAUCGUGAAAUUGUCGUGAGUUGUUAGUGUUUGAACGGUGGGUAGAGCAAAGUUACACCAGGAAAAGGCAAGGCAUUUGCCGAAUUGCGGUCAACUGAUGUUCUACUACUUCUUAUCAUUCGUCGACAUUUCAACUGUUCAACUGGAAAAGAAAAAAAGAUAAUGAACACUUUAAAAUUUCUGUGCGUUAUUCUUUCGUGCUCCUGCGCCACGGGCUUAGACCUUGAUGCAAAUGUCAACUCCCACAGCAAAGUUGUCGUUUGCUACGUAGACAGAAGGUCUGCACACAGACCUGCUAAUGGUGCAUUUGUUAUUGAGAAUAUUGACCCUGUGCUGUGUACACACAUCAUCUACGCAUAUGCUGGCCUGGAUAAUGUCACACAAUCAAUUAAAAGUCUGGACAGUUUCCUCGAUACAGAAGAAAGUGGUGGCAGAGGCCAGUACAAGAAAGUUGUGAGCUUAAAGCAAAAGUAUCCAAAACUGAAAGUUUCCAUUUCCAUUGGUGGACCGGGCGAAAAGUCUUGGAAAUAUUCCAACAUGGCUGAGACGCAUGAAAACCGCAAACUAUUCAUUGACAGCGUUUUGUAUUUUAUCAAGAAACACGGUUUUGAUGGCUUGGAUAUGAAAUGGCACUAUCCUGGAUUCUUUGAUGGUUCCCGCGUAGAAGAUAGAAAGAAUUUCGCACUUCUACUCAAAGAAAUGCGAACAGAAUUCGACAAAAACGGAUAUCUUUUAACAGUUCUGAUCGGUGCUAGACCUAACAUUAUCAAUCGUUCUUACGAUAUUCCAGCGAUUACUCAACAUGUCCAUUUCAUUCACAUCCAGGCAUACAUUUACCACGAUUCAUCUGAUUCUCAAACAACAACAGGACACAAUGCCCCACUCCGGAUGCCAGUCAAUAGCAGUAUUAUCGAACCGGAUCUUCGUCUCAGUGUUGAGGACACAGUGAAAUAUUUACUUAAUUCGGGCGCAUCACCGCAUAAAUUGGUACUCGGCGUUCAUUUUCGCGGAAACGCAUUUACUCUCGUCGACAGAAAUUCGCACGAAAUCGGUUCUCCAUCUAAGGGAAGUGGAUUUAAAGGACCUUACACUCGUACAAACCGAUAUCUUGCAUACAAUGAGAUCUGCAAAGAGCUCAAUAAAAAUCAAGGUGUUGAUAAGUGGAUUGAACGAUGGGACGACAUUGCUCAAGUUCCUUACAUGUACAAAGGCAACAAUUGGGUUUCAUUCGACAACGAGAAAAGUAUUGCCAUCAAGGCUCGCUACGCGUUUGACCAAGCACUUGCUGGACUAGCGAUCUGGACUAUAGAUAUGGACGACUUCCUGCCCGAAUGUUCAAACGUUCAAUAUCCAUUACUAAGAGCAAUUCAUUCCGAAUUCAAGGAGGCUUACAAACAAGACGACAAACAAGGUGAUAAAAAACGACCAUCGGAUGUGGCAUUUCCGACCCCAAUCAAAGAAAUAAGCAACGAGCCAGUGUCUAAUUUUAUCGCGCUAAAAAAAAAUGCCGCCCAGAAUUUGACCUGCAAUCGAUUGUCGCAAUUUUUUCCCGUUAAAUGGAUAAAGGAUGGAGAGCGAUACACCGGCCAAGUCUACGAGAACGAAAUUGCGUCGGUUUUGACACUACAAGGAAAAGCAAAUGAAUUGGGACUCUACGAAUGCCGAUGGAACAACAGCAAAGGAGAGUCCAGACACAGAAAUUUCGACGUCAGUAUCAAAUUCGUCGAUGAGAAAACCAACAUUAAUGUUAUCAUCAUAUCCGUAACUACAACUGUAAUCGGUUUACUUGUGAUCGGAUUGGGAAUCGGCAUCAAAUUUUACCUCGACAAAAAAAAGGAAUUGGAAAAAUUGCUUAAUGGAGAUCCUGACAGAAUAGACCCGGAUGUACCGAUAGAAUAUCAAACGAAAUUCCUUCCUUACGAUAAGAAAUGGGAAUUUCCAAGGAAACGGCUCAGACUUGGAAAAGAAAUCGGAUCCGGUCAUUUCGGUCGAGUUGUCAAAGCCGAGGCCGUGGGUCUCAAAGACGCCGAUGAAACUGUGACGACAGUGGCCGUUAAAAUGGUCAAACCGACGGCCAAAUCAAAAGACGCAAUAGUCGCUCUCGUAAGAGAAUUAAAAAUUUUAAUUCAUUUGGGGGAGCACUUGAAUGUCGUCAAUUUACUGGGCGCCUGCACUAAAACCAGCGUCAGAGAAGAAUUUCUGGUCUUAAUCGAUUUCUGUCAAUUCGGCAAUUUAAAAUCUUAUUUAACAAAAAACCGAAAUCAUUUCAUGAACCAGUUGAAUGGUUCAGGUGAUAUGCAACCCGAGAACGAAAUGGCUGAAAUUAACACAAUCGCAAAUCCACAAAUUGAAAUUGAUUUAGCAGAACUAUCUGUCGCCGUUAAAUUGUCCAGCGAAAUUUCGCAAUUUCAACGGCAGUACAAACAGAGUGCAAUCGGACGCGACUGUCAAUCGAAUCAUUAAAACGAGCGACUUAAUUUCUUGGUCGUUGCAAAUCGCUCGAGGGAUGGAAUUCUUGGCCAGCAAAAAGGUUCUGCACGGCGAUUUAGCGGCCCGAAAUGUCCUCUUAGCCGAGGGCGGAAUUGUUAAAGUGGCCGAUUUCGGGUUGGCCAGACAAAUGAAGGAUUACGAAUACAAGAUAAAUGAAGC